rnacentral:RNase_P_RNA from 1 species
GUGAGCCGGUGGGCGGCUUCCGAGCCUCAGGGCUUGGGGAAACUCCAUCCACCAGGCAGGACUGCGACGCCGCGAGGCGUAGGGCGAGAGCCCUGGCUCCGGAACAGAAACGAGACCCCCGCCUGCGAAUGGCGGUGACGCGCCGAGGAGGCGUCGAGGACGCAGUCGGGUCGGGUGAGACGGCCGACCCGCAGGGUGAAAGGGCGAAUAGGCGUCCAUGAGCACCUGCCCGAGACGCGGGUAGCCCGUUCAGCCGAAUGCCGCCUAAAACAGAAGAUGGGUUACGGCCGGCACAC